CCUACGGGAGGCAGCAGUGGGGAAUAUUGCACAAUGGGCGAAAGCCUGAUGCAGCAACGCCGCGUGAAGGAAGAAGGGUCUCGGCUCGUAAACUUCUAUCAACAGGGACGAAAGAAGUGACGGUACCUGAAUAAGAAGCCUAGGCUAACUACGUGCCAGCAGCCGCGGUAAUACGUAGGGGGCAAGCGUUAUGCGGAAUCACUGGGUGUAAAGGGUGAGUAGGGGGCAUGGUAAGCCAGAUGUGAAAGGCUUGGGCUUAACCUGGGGAUUGCAUUUGGAACUAUCGAGCUAGAGUACAGGGGAGGAAGGCGGAAUUCGUGGUGUAGCGGUGAAAGGCGUAGAUAUUAGGAAGAACGCCGAUGGCGAAGGCGGCUUUCUGGAGUGAAACUGACGCUGAGGCACGAAGGCGUGGGGAGCGAACAGGAUUAGAUACCCUAGUAGUC
rnacentral:rRNA from 1 species